UACAGAGGGUGCAAGCGUUGUUCGGAAUUACUGGGCGUAAAGCGCACGUAGGCGGCUUUGCAAGUUAGAGGUGAAAGCCCGGAGCUCAACUCCGGAAUUGCCUUUAAAACUGCAUCGCUAGAAUUGUGGAGAGGUAAGUGGAAUUCCGAGUGUAGAGGUGAAAUUCGUAGAUAUUCGGAAGAACACCAGUGGCGAAGGCGACUUACUGGACACAUAUUGACGCUGAGGUGCGAAAGCGUGGGGAGCAAACAGG
rnacentral:rRNA from 1 species